AAAACAUCGCUCUUUGAAGUAUUUUAUUCAGUUGAAAUCAAUUUAUUAUAAAGAGUCGGACCUGCCCAGUGACUAUAUUGUUAAACGGCCGCGGUACUCUGACCGUGCAAAGGUAGCAUAAUCAUUUGCCUUUUAAUUGGAGGCUUGUAUGAAUGGUUUGACGAGAACUAAGCUGUCUCUUCUUAAAUAUAAAAAAAUUAAUUUUUAGGUGAAGAAGCCUAAUAUUUAACUGAGGGACAAGAAGACCCCGUUGAGCUUUAGUAGCCUAGUGAAAUGAUUUUAAUAUUUAUAAUAUAAUUUAUAUAUUGUUACACAUUAAAAUGUAGAUGUUGUUCACUAGAAAUCUUUAGUUGGGGCGACUGAGGAGCAUAAAAAGCUUCCUUUAAUAAUAUAUUUUAUGGAAAUCAAACUAAGAUAAAUAGAUCCAGUAUUUACUGAUCAAAGGAAAAAGUUACCACGGGGAUAACAGCGUAAUCUUUCUAGAGAGUUCUUAUCGAAAGAAGGGUUUGCGACCUCGAUGUUGGACUAAGAUAUCCUAAAGGUGUAGAAGCUUUUAAUGGUUAGUCUGUUCGACUAUUAAAAUCUUACGUGAUCUGAGUUCAGACCGG
rnacentral:rRNA from 1 species